UACGAAGGGGGCUAGCGUUGUUCGGAGUUACUGGGCGUAAAGGGCGCGUAGGCGGCGCACCAAGUCAGGCGUGAAAGCCCUGGGCUCAACCCGGGAAUUGCGCUUGAGACUGGUGUGCUCGAGUACGGGAGAGGAUAGUGGAAUUCCCAGUGUAGAAGUGAAAUUCGUAGAUAUUGGGAAGAACACCGGUGGCGAAGGCGGCUAUCUGGACCGUAACUGACGCUGAGGCGCGAAAGCGUGGGGAGCAAACAGG
rnacentral:rRNA from 1 species